UACGUAGGGUGCAAGCGUUAAUCGGAAUUACUGGGCGUAAAGCGUGCGCAGGCGGCGCGUUAAGACAGGUGUGAAAGCCCCGAGCUUAACUUGGGAAUUGCGCUUGUGACUGGCGUGCUGGAGUGUGGCAGAGGGAGGUGGAAUUCCACGUGUAGCAGUGAAAUGCGUAGAGAUGAUGGAGGAACACCGAUGGCGAAGGCAGCCUCCUGGGCCAACACUGACGCUCAUGCACGAAAGCGUGGGGAGCAAACAGGA
rnacentral:rRNA from 1 species